rnacentral:rRNA from 1 species
GACGAACGCUGGCGGCGUGCCUAAUACAUGCAAGUCGAGCGAACAGACCAUGUGCUUGCUCCUCUGACGUUAAACGCGGACGGAUCAGUCAAAUAAGGAUAACCUAACUAUAAGACUGGGAUAACUUCCUGAAACCGGAUCUAAUAACGGAUAAUAUCUUCAUCCUCAUGGUUCCAUAGUUCAAGACGUUUUUGCUGGACUUUCUAGCUGUCUCCGUGCCGCAUGAGCUAGUUGGUAAGGUAACGGCUUACCCAGGCCAGGAUGCGUAGCCGACCUGACAGGGUGAUCGGCGACACUGGAGCUGAGACACGGUCCAGACUCCGAGGGGAGGCAGCAGUAGGGAAUCUUCCGCAAUGGGCGAAAGCCUGACGGAGCAACGCCGCGUGAGUGAUGAAGGUCUUCGGAUCGGAAAACUCUGUUAUUAGGGAAGAACAAAUGUGUAAGUAACUAUGCACGUCUUGACGGUACCUAAUCAGAAAGCCCCGGCUAACUACGUG